rnacentral:rRNA from 1 species
UACGUAGGGUGCGAGCGUUAAUCGGAAUUACUGGGCGUAAAGCGUGCGCAGGCGGCUUGCCAAGUCAGAUGUGAAAGCCCCGGGCUCAACCCGGGAACUGCGUUUGAAACUGGCAGGCUAGAGUUUGGCAGAGGGGGGUGGAAUUCCACGUGUAGCAGUGAAAUGCGUAGAGAUGUGGAGGAACACCGAUGGCGAAGGCAGCCCCCUGGGCCAGUACUGACGCUCAUGCACGAAAGCGUGGGGAGCAAACAGG